rnacentral:other from 1 species
GGCUCCCUGAAGUGUUCGCCAGCGAAUAACGUCCCUGGCCGAUGCUUUUACCCCCAGGGUGUUCGUAAGGUGCGGCUGCGCAUGCUCGGUACGUCCGAGAAGCCGAAAGCAUCAAAUGGACACCCGCCUUGAAUUUUCGGAUUCGAGGGCAACCCUUCGCAGCGGCACCGCGGGGAGCUC